rnacentral:rRNA from 1 species
CCUACGGGAGGCAGCAGUGAGGAAUAUUGGUCAAUGGGCGCGAGCCUGAACCAGCCAAGUAGCGUGAAGGAUGACUGCCCUACGGGUUGUAAACUUCUUUUAUAAAGGAAUAAAGUGAGGCACGUGUGCCUUUUUGUAUGUAUUUUAUGAAUAAGGAUCGGCUAACUCUGGGCCAGCAGCCGCGGUAAUACGGAGGAUCUGAGCGUUAUCCGGUUUUAUUGGGUUUAAAGGGAGCGUAGAUGGGUUAUUAGGUCAGAUGUGAAAGUGUGCGGCUCAACCGUAAAAUUGCAAUUGAUACUGGCAGCCUUGAGUACAGUUGAGGUAGGCGGAAUUCGUGGUGUAGCAGUGAAAUGCUUAGAUAUCACGAAGAACUCCGAUUGCGAAGGCAGCUUACUAAGCUGCCACUGACAUUGAUGCUCGAAAGUGUGGGUAUCAAACGGGAUUAGAUACCCGAGUAGUC